rnacentral:ncRNA from 1 species
CACAGACAAGAUUGACAGAUCGAUAGCUCUUUCUCAAUUCCGUGUAGGGUGGUGCAUGGCCGUUUGUAGGUGGGGGAGCGAUUUGUCUGGUUAAUUCUGAUAACGAACAAGACUCUGGCAUGCUAACUAGUUGCAUCAUUCCUGAGCAUUUGUUUUUUUCUGUUUUUUUUUUUUUUUUUAUAAUAGCCAUUCUUUUUCUUUAAAGAUUUUAUUUAUUUAUUUGAAAGUCAGAGUUACACACACAGAGAGAAGGAGAGGCAGAGAGAGAGAGAGGCCUUCCAUCCACU